rnacentral:rRNA from 1 species
GACGAACGCUGGCGGCGUGCCUAAUACAUGCAAGUUGAGCGCUGAAGGUUGGUACUUGUACCGACUGGAUGAGCAGCGAACGGGUGAGUAACGCGUGGGGAAUCUGCCUUUGAGCGGGGGACAACAUUUGGAAACGAAUGCUAAUACCGCAUAAAAACUUUAAACACAAGUUUUAAGUUUGAAAGAUGCAAUUGCAUCACUCAAAGAUGAUCCCGCGUUGUAUUAGCUAGUUGGUGAGGUAAAGGCUCACCAAGGCGAUGAUACAUGGCCGACCAGGGAGGGUGAUAGGCCACAUAGGGACUGAGACACGGCCCAAACUCCGACGGGAGGCAGCAGUAGGGAAUCUUCGGCAAUGGACGAAAGUCUGACCGAGCAACGCCGCGUGAGUGAAGAAGGUUUUCGGAUCGUAAAACUCUGUUGGUAGAGAAGAACGUUGGUGAGAGUGGAAAGCUCAUCAAGUGACGGUAACUACCCAGAAAGGGACGGCUAACUACGUGCCAGCAGCCGCAGUAAAAC